rnacentral:rRNA from 1 species
UACGUAGGGUGCAAGCGUUAAUCGGAAUUACUGGGCGUAAAGCGUGCGCAGGCGGCUUUGCAAGACAGAUGUGAAAUCCCCGGGCUUAACCUGGGAACUGCAUUUGUGACUGCAUGGCUAGAGUGCGGCAGAGGGGGAUGGAAUUCCGCGUGUAGCAGUGAAAUGCGUAGAUAUGCGGAGGAACACCGAUGGCGAAGGCAAUCCCCUGGGCCUGCACUGACGCUGAGCCGCGAAAGCGUGGGGAGCGAGCCGG